GACGUAGGGCGCGAGCGUGUCCGGAUUUAUUGGGCGUAAAGAGCUCGUAGGCGGCUUGUCGCGUCGACUGUGAAAACCCGCGGCUCAACCGCGGGCCUGCAGUCGAUACGGGCAGACUAGAGGUAUGCAGGGGAGAAUGGAAUUCCUGGUGUAGCGGUGAAAUGCGCAGAUAUCGGGAGGAACACCGGUGGCGAAGGCGGCUCACUGGCUCAUUUCUGACGCUCAGGCGG
rnacentral:rRNA from 1 species